GGAAGGGAGGACAAUCUGGCUGUGACAUCUGCCACCCAGUUGAUCACCAGGAUUGAUUCGGAUGAUCUGGCUGGCUAGGAGGGUGUCCCCUUCCCCCUCACUGCUCCAUGUGCGUCCUCCCAAAGCUGCACUCAGUUGAAGAGGACGACCUUCCCGGAAUAGAGGAGGGCUGGUUUUUAGUCAACAAUAUAUAUGUAGCUGCACUCCCCUGCUAGAACCUCCAAACAAGCUCUCAAUCACACUGAGAAUACAAAAUUACUCCUGAAAAAUAAAGUCUGGCCUGGUGGUAGUGGUGCAUGCCUUUAAUC
rnacentral:snRNA from 1 species